AUACGGAGGAUGCAAGCGUUAUCCGGAUUUAUUGGGUUUAAAGGGUGCGUAGGCGGAUGAUUAAGCGUGAGGUGAAAUGCCACUGCUCAACAGUGGAACUGCCUCGCGAACUGGUUGUCUUGAAUGCUCCUGCCGUGGGAGGAAUGUGUGGUGUAGCGGUGAAAUGCAUAGAGAUCACACAGAACACCGAUUGCGAAGGCAUCUCACGAAGGGGUGAUUGACGCUGAGGCACGAAAGCGUGGGGAUCAAACAGGAUUAGAUACCCUGGUAGUCCACGCAGUAAACGAUGAUGGCUAACCGCUGGGCUUAUCAGUUCAGUGGCCAAGCGAAAGCGAUAAGCCAUCCACCUGGGGAGUACGACCGCAAGGUUGAAACUUAAAGGAAUUGACGGGG
rnacentral:rRNA from 1 species